AUCAACUGACCUCUGACUUUCUUGUUAACAGGGAAACUGUAGGAAGAUACGCCACCAUCCCUAUCUAAUCUCUUCUUAAUGCAUUAACUUUACUCAAUGGUUCUCAAACUUUAGCAUGUAUGAGAUCACCUGGAGAACUUGUGAAUUUCUAACUCAGGAGGUCUGGGGAGAAGAUGAAGAAUCUGCAUUUACUGCAUGUUUCCAGAUAAUGGUGAUGCCUCUUAUCCAGGGACCACAGAGAACCACAGCCCUUAUAUGGCAAAGUCGAGAGUUUUUGUGCAAUGCCUCACCCUAAAUGAUAAAGCAGCCCUCUCCUCUCUGCCUCUGAGGGGAGAAAGGGAAUGACAUCCAGGACAAGAACAAAGAAUAGAAGAGGAAAGGUGCUGCUACAAGUUGGAAAGAAGCAGACAGAGGUCCCUGCUGAUUCUCCAAAUAUGUGUCUAAUCUGUUUACUGAGUUCCAUAGCACUUGGAGCCAUCCAUGCAAAAAUCUGUAGAAGAGCAUUCCAGGAAGAGGGAAGAGCAAAUGCAAAGACGGGCGUGAGAGCUUGGUGCAUACAGCCAUGGGCCAAAUAAAGUUUCCUUGGAAUAGCCA
rnacentral:lncRNA from 10 species